UACGGGGGGGGCAAGCGUUGUCCGGAAUUACUGGGCGUAAAGGGCUCGUAGGCGGCUAACUAAGUCAGACGUGAAAUCCCUCGGCUUAACCGGGGAACUGCGUCUGAUACUGGAUGGCUUGAGUUUGGGAGAGGGAUGCGGAAUUCCAGGUGUAGCGGUGAAAUGCGUAGAUAUCUGGAGGAACACCGGUGGCGAAGGCGGCAUCCUGGACCAACACUGACGCUGAGUGAGCGAAAGCCAGGGGAGCAAACGGG
rnacentral:rRNA from 1 species